AUUGGUCGACUCUCUGUGAUGAUUAUCCAAUCACCAUCUUUCGGCUGA
rnacentral:snoRNA from 1 species